GUUUAACAUUAAAACUUUAAAAAUGGUUUAACAGUAAAUGGAAGAACAAUGCCAGUGGACUUGUACUAAAUUUUAGUUACAUUAGGCAUUAACAGUGUCUAGUGUCCCUUUAAGAAAUCUAUGCUGCCCAUUUGAGUUCACAGUACAUACAAGUAAUGUGUAUAAUCAUGAACCAAGUUAACCCCUUAAGGACUGAGCCAAAUGUACACGUUGUGAUCAAAACGUAAACAAAAACCUG